rnacentral:rRNA from 1 species
AAACCAACAGGGAUUGCCUCAGUAACGGCGAGUGAAGCGGCAAAAGCUCAAAUUUGAAAUCUAGCACCUUCGGUGUUCGAGUUGUAAUUUGAAGAUGGUAACCUUGGGUUUGGCUCUUGUCUAUGUUCCUUGGAACAGGACGUCAUAGAGGGUGAGAAUCCCGUCUGAUGAGAUGCCCAUUCCUAUGUAAGGUGCUAUCGAC